rnacentral:lncRNA from 1 species
GCUCCAGGGACCCCCCCCCGCCCCCCACGCGCGGCAGCACUUACCCAGGCCUCACCCCUGCACACAGGGCCGGCCUCGGGCACCGCGCGUCACGGUCCCGCAGAGCCCGCCGGCCCCGGCACCAGGAGCGGGGGGAGGCGGGAACCACCCUCGGCCGCUCGGGACCCGCGGGCGCCGCCGACUGGAGGCCCGGACACGCGCUCCGCACGGCCCGGCUCGCGCACUCUCCCUCCCGAGCGCUGCGGGCCGCGAGGCGGGCCCAGGCGGCUCCGCUCACCUGGUAGGCAGCCGGCCGACGGCUGGGGGCGGGGGCUGGGGGCGGGGGCGCAUCCCGGGCCGCGGGCCGCCUCGGCUGCGCACCCGCCGCCCGCGCUCAGCGGGACCGUCCCGGGAGCCCCUCCUCCAGGACCCGCCCGCAGAGGCCCGCCCCGGAGCCGGGAGCGGGGCCGGGAACCGGGGCUGACCUCCGCCGGCUCUCCGCGCCCGCCCCGGGCCUCAGUUUCCCCUCCUGUCGGGGGGAAGAGGAGUGCAGCACCAGCCUUGGAGGCCGCCGGGGUCCCUGCGCAGCGCGGCCCUGCUGUCACUCACCCGGGGCACCGGGACCGUCGCGGCGGGGACAGGAGGAGACGCUGCGGCCCGGCUCGAGUCGGCUCGGGACCAACGCGAAGGGCCGCCGCAGCCGCAGGGACACCCUCCACCCACCCAGCGCCGGCCGAAAGGCACCUGCAGCGCGGGCUGCGGCCGAGAGCCGCGUCUGCGGAGCUGCACCCGCGCGCGGGCUGUUCGCGCCCCCUCGUGCAUAGGAGGUGCAAAUCGAGCGGCCCGGACCGCAAGCAUCCCUACAUCUUCCCAUCACCCCGUGCACCCAUCCGUCCAUUCAUCCGGAAAAUAUUUAGGGAGCUUUCUCAUCCAUCCAUCCAUCCACCCACACGCUCCUCUAUUCGUUCAUUUAGAUUCCCACCCACCCAGAAAAAUCUACAGAGCAGCAACUUCAUAUCAGAGACUGUGCUAAGCAUUGGAAAUGCAUUGAAAUAUUAA